rnacentral:rRNA from 1 species
CAAGCGUUGUUCGGAUUUACUGGGCGUAAAGGGCGCGUAGGCGGCACUGCAAGUCAGUUGUGAAAUCUCCGGGCUUAACCCGGAAAGGUCAACUGAUACUGCAGGGCUAGAGUGCAGAAGGGGCAACUGGAAUUCUCGGUGUAGCGGUGAAAUGCGUAGAUAUCGAGAGGAACACCUGCGGCGAAGGCGGGUUGCUGGGCUGACACUGACGCUGAGGCGCGAAAGCCAGGGGAGCGAACGGG